AUUGAACGCUGGCGGCAUGCUUUACACAUGCAAGUCGAACGGCAGCGCGGGCUUCGGCCUGGCGGCGAGUGGCGAACGGGUGAGUAAUGCAUCGGAACGUGCCCAGUAGUGGGGGAUAGCCCGGCGAAAGCCGGAUUAAUACCGCAUACGACCUGAGGGUGAAAGCGGGGGACCGAAAGGCCUAGCGCUACUGGAGCGCCCGAUGUCGGAUUAGCUAGUUGGUGGGGUAAAGGCUUACCAAGGCGACGAUCCGUAGCUGGUCUGAGAGGACGACCAGCCACACUGGGACUGAGACACGGCCCAGACUCCUACGGGAGGCAGCAGUGGGGAAUUUUGGACAAUGGGGGCAACCCUGAUCCAGCCAUGCCGCGUGCGGGAAGAAGGCCUUCGGGUUGUAAACCGCUUUUGUUCGGGAAGAAAUCCUCUGGGCUAAUACCCCGGGGGGAUGACGGUACCGGAAGAAUAAGCACCGGCUAACUACGUG
rnacentral:rRNA from 1 species